GUUGGACAACUAGGUGCCCAUGACCAACUCCUCAUUGUGGAUGGAUUUAGUCUGGUUGGACUUUCUCAGGAAAGGGCAGCAGAACUCAUGACUAGUACCAGUCCCAUGGUUACCCUGGAAGUUGCAAAUCAAGGCAUCCUCUUUCACUGCCUGUCCACCUUUCUUACCCAGCCAUUGUCCUCCAUGGUGCAGAGAGGUAAGAGCUAGUGACUCAAGCCAGGUUAGCCAACAUAUAGUGAUGCUGUAUUGAGAUAUGGCUCCUCCUAAAAGUUAUCAAAAUCUGGGGCUGGAAAGAUGGUUCAGUAUUUUACAACACCAGUGUUAGCCCAAAACUGCCCGAAACUCUAAUUUCAUGGGAUUUAAAGCACUCUUCUAAGUUCUCUGUAUUCAUGUGCACACAUGCUGGGCAAACACUCAUACACAUAAAUUAUUUUUAUAAAGAGAGGCCCUAAAAUUCCCAUGUAGUAGCUCCUACCACAGCUCUUGCUCAGCUCUUCAAGGAAGAAGUUAGUUGAGACAGAGUGCAUGAUGCUGAGAAAUACUUCUGGGUCAUGAUUCAGAUCAGAUCUAAUGGUACGGUUUCCUAGAUAUAUUCACAGUCUGUUAAUUGCAGUAUUGUGAACUCCCUUCUGACCCUGCCUCGGCUUUGGAACCUGCACACCCUAGCGCCUGAUCUUUGUAGCUACAGUAUCAACAACAAUAUCAGUGUCUGACAGUCUAGAAUCCUGUAUACUAAAGCGUAGAACAGGAACCAAUCCUGGCUAGACCAUGUGUUGGCAUGUUAAAGCAGAACACCAUUUACAAACUCAAAGAGGGUCGUGGGUAACAAAUGAGUCCCAGGUGAGCAGACAGGAAGACUAAACUGUGAACAGGUGUGGAUAAUCACACCAUGUGACAGCA
ensembl:lncRNA